UCUUUAUACAAUUCAGAUCGUUUGAAAUCAGCUUUACAGAGAUCAGCGGGAAAAUAGCGAUUUAGUGACGCAAACAUGUAUUUACACUGUGAAGCAGAUUUAAAAAGUCAUUAUUCAGUCUGAUUGUUGAUUCAGUUCAGUUUAAUGAAAAGCCCAUCAAUUAUGGAAUGAGUCUAUUUGGAAAAGGGACACUGUACAUGUAGAAUAUUAUUAUUAUGUUCUAUAAAAAUAAUUAUUCAUAAAUUGUUUAUAUCCACAAAAUUCCAUAAAUAUCUUGUUUUCCAUCACAUUAUUUCAACUGUAAGCUUUUCACUGCUAGGACGGCAAACUGUGUGCAUGACCCAUAUGCGACACGAUCAUAAAUACGGUUAUGACGGUUAUGCAACAAAAAUCAUAAAUGUAACUGGUGGUUUCCAAACAUAUAACCUGAUUUAACGAGUAAAGCGUCUCCUCUAGAAAAGGCACGUAAUGGACACGGUCUAAAAAAAGUUUUUCUCUUGUCAGAUCACCGAUUCAAAAGAACACCGGGACACGACGUUCUGUGCCGUACGAACCCAAGAAAAGUGAAGGGAAGGUGAGGUUAAGUGCGACAGACGAGCUGCUACAUUUAGCCGUUUGCUUCAGUAGGUCUAUUGCAUGCCUUUCAACCUGUAAUCUAUGAGUUAUUAACCAGAUCUAGAUCUUCAUCUCAGAUAAAGGUUGACCACGUGAUCCACAUAAACCCAUCUCAAACCGCAAUCGAGUAUGCUUUACACACACCCGUAGAUUUCUCUGAGCACAGGCUGUGUUGUAUCUUCAGAGCUUGUUUUUUCAGGACAUCCAGGCAGAUCAUUGCCUCGCCGUGGAAAGACAUCGAAAUGCUCCCAUCAGAUAUGAUCACAAGUCAUCUGGUGACAUCUAGUGGACAAACCAGAUGUCUGAGGUCGUCCUCACGUGAAAACAGGGAAUCUAAUCAGUUUCCUCAGGCAGAAAUUCACAGGAUAACAGAUGCAGACACCUAAACGGGAUGUUUUAUCUUUGACCCACAUCUAUCCUGCCAUCCAUCCAUCACAAGGUGCCUCUUCUGGAGCGGCAAGAGGAGCAGUUUCGCCGGUAAUGCUGCACACAAAGCAAGUCAGAUAAAAAUGAGACCAAUCGGACGAGUCACCCACAUUACAGUCACACAAAGGAGGGGUUGGUCAAACUAAUCAUUGAGCGAGUCAUGUGAGCACGUAAAGCGAAAAACAUUUUGUCAGCCUGUUGUUGGUCACUCCCAAAACCAAAACGCGAACCAAUGGUUAUCAAUAAUAGUAGCAUUUCUAUGAACAUAUGCUUUAAAUAAAACUGUCCUUUAAAUGACUCGCUGAAAAUCAUUGGGCCAGUGCGCUCAGAACUCAUUUGCAUUGCAUUGUGUUCUUUGUCCUUGACAGGUGACCGCGUGCGUUUCAAAAGCAGAAUUCAUCCUGUAAAUAUCUCCUUUCGUGUCGAAUGGAGGAGCGCGUGGGCUCGGAUCAAAGAAAGGAUGGUCUAGCAGCGUGAUUGAGUCAUUAGGCUCUCUGAGGGUCCGUUCCCUGUCGGUGUGUUACGCAGCGAUGACAGCACUGUCAGACUGAUGUCACGUCUGCUCGCCGAGUGUCGCAAAAUCCCGGUGACAAGCUCCGAUUCUGUGACGACGAAGGCUCGAAACACAGGAGAUCCUUCGAGAAACACAGAGGAACCUAAGACAAACACAUCAAUGCCUCGCCGCUUCUACACCUGAAGGAUGAAAGCAGGCUCCGACGGUAAUGUGGCUUUUUGGAAAGAGAAAUGAAAGACUCUUAGCGGGGAGCCUUUGCUCUGUUGUGUCUCGGGAGGAACGAACCUGUCACCGCCGUCACUGUUGCUUGAUUUCACGAGAUAAUGCUUCUUUUUCCCCUCCAAACAACUCCAACACGAAAGUGCUGUAAGGGAGUUUUUAUGGAUGGGCUGGCUGAAAGCGUCCCUACCGCCUGACAGAUAUCAGUGAAAGAGGCGUCCUGAGGAAUCACAGCUGUCUCUGUGACAGAACGACACUCUGCGAAGCUCACAAAACAACCUGACGCUACGACAUUAGCGUUUAGCCAGUCGGAGGAGUCUGCCUGUCAGUCACGCCGAGCGUUUCGUAGUAAAGCCUCCCGAGUCGAACCAUUAUUUUAUCCAGAGCGGACGUCGGCUUGCUUUGAAAUGGCCUUUUUACGUGAUGAUGGCGUGACGGUGAAUCUCAUUCCUGAGCAUGAAAAAUAUUUUCAAUAAUUUUGAACCUUUUCGGUUUUGACGGACGGAUGGUUCCAGCGUUUAUUUCAAAGCCAAUUCAAUAAGAAAUGUGCAUUUAAAUAUGCAUGGUUACCUAAAAAUGUGAACAGAAUCUUUUUUUUUUGUCGAUAAAAGGAACUAUUUAGUUUCUUUUAACUUAUAGACUUCUCUCAUUGAACAAAACAAUUUGAUUGAACUAAUGCCUACAACUGUAUUUCAUUGCAUUAAAUAAAAUGUCUGCAGACAAAUGCAGCACGAGGCUAAAAUGCUGAUCAAAGUAGUUCAGUGUAGUUCAUCAAAUCACAGACAUAAAGACUUAUUAUAAACUACAUUUCCUUGCAAUAAACGUCACUUGCUUUGAUAUAGUGUUCUGUAAUGCAAUGACGUCCAAUGCACUUUAAACCAAAGCGAGCUGCACUAUAAUGUUCCUCCAGCAGAGAUCAGUAGCGCAUUGAAGCAGCAGUCAAGUAAAUUAAAACUGAAAAAAUUGUGAUUAUUCCUGUUAGAAAAUGCAUCACAGUUGAUCAGUGAAGCUUCUCAGCUACAAUCCAUCUGCCUAUCGAAUUUUUACGUAACCAAACAGCAACUUCUGCAUUCAAUUCUGGGAAAAAAAAAGGAAAUUAAUUAAAAAUAACGGCCUCCGAAUGCUGCAGGAGAUCAGCGGCGUGCUUGCACCGCAGAGAGCCGCAGCUCUUACUCGCGUUAAAGACGUAUUUCACAGCACACGUACUUCUGUAGUGGCCACUGAUUGGCAGCUGUUAUUUUCUUCUCAGACGUAAGCCGUCAGAGGCUCUGUGCUCAAGUGAAAAAUGGAUUUGGAAAAUAAAAAAAAAAACACAUCAAAAUGAAGGCAUUUAUUUUACAGUCCAUUGCGGUUCCGAUAUAGCGUGGAGACGGGUUCUGUGUCGGGGUCAGACGAGGGCACCGCUGACAUUUCACUGCCCUCAAUCUGAUCUACAGAGUAGAUCUGACACCAAAUGUAGUCAGAAACGGCUUAAUGGAAAUGCUAAUAACCAAAAGAUUACGUC